rnacentral:lncRNA from 1 species
GCAUAUGGAGGUUCCCGAGCUAGGGGUCAAAUCGGAGCUGUAGCUUCCGGCCUCCGCCACAGCCUCAGCAACACAGGAUCUGAGCCGCAUCUGCGACCUACACCAGAGUUCAUGGCAAUGCUGGAUCCUUAACCCAUGAGAGACGCCAGGGAUCGAACGCAAAACCUCAUGGUUCCUAGUCGGAUUCGUUUGCACUGUGCCACAAGGGGAACUCCAUAUUUGGGCUUUUUAGUGUAAUAAAGAAAUGAUAUCUAAGGUGGCUGAGCUCAGCUUUCCCCAAAAUGUCAAAAACACGAAUUCCUUUAUCCCUCUGAAUAUGGAACUUUAUGUAGCUGGAGUAAGGGCAAUAUCUUGGAUCUAAAAGACGUACUUUUUAGCAGAUCUGGGGGCAGAACUCACUGGCAGUCCAAAUUUGUAACAGCACAAUAUCUUCUUGACUUUCUGUGCAAGGCAUGGACUUCUGGGGGCCUCAUGGACACCGCCAGGGGGCUGAGGCACAGAUGUCACCAAACCCAAUCUGCAUGAGCACUUCCUGGAUAAGAUGCUUCCUCCAGAAGAGGACCUGACCUCUUCCCUUAGCAGAGCUGAGCUCAGGGGCUCAUAUGCCACAUCCAAUGUGAGUCCAGAAUAUAGAUCUGGAAGGUGGACAUGGGAUCAUUGGACGGGGACUCUGGAUCUUCAUUCAGCCAAAGCCUCAAUUCACUCAUGAGUGUCUGAGCUUCCAAAACCCUCAGCCUUCUACCCUGAGUCCACACAGCCUCAUCCCUUGAAAGCCCUGGCAAGCCUGAGAAAGGCAGGGGAAGAACCACAGAGUGAACUCCUGAUGACUUUCUUUCUUUUUUUCCCAUGGCCUGUAAUUUCCUUUCUUGAAAAGUCAUCUGUCUUCAUAUUUUAACAUGGCUUUGGGUGAGUUUUGGCAGUCCUUAAAGGCUAUCUUGAAAAUCCUUUUUUGGGAGUGUGUGUUAUCUAAUACCUCCUUCCCAACUGAGGAAGGUUCUCAUUCAUUUUCCAUUAAAACAGUCACUGAAAAUUCAUUAUUUUUCACUAUGGUCUUGCCAUGGCAUGAGGCUCCCCCUGUAAGCCAGCCAUGGGCUAGCUCCGCAUGUUGGAUAUUCUGAGAACCUGUGGGUUUUGCUGAAAACCACGGUGCUUUCAUCAGAAUUGGGGCCAGCUUCUAUAAGGCGGUGAUCUUAGUACCUGGCCCCGGAGUCUGGGUUCUGUCUGCAUCCUCACAAGAGCAGAAGGAGAUGAACUCAUCCUUGGCAUCUCUGACCCACAGCGGAGUGGCUCACCAGCCUUUUGAGCAACUGUCACAAUCUACUGUACCUACUUGGGCAUGAGCUGUUUACAGGCUGCCCUCCUGAGCUAGACAAGGAGGGUACUGAGAGCAAGAGAAGAUUGCUUUCUUUUGCUUUUUUUUCUUUCUUUUGGUUUGUCUUGUUAGGGCCGCACCCUUGGCAUUUGGAGGUUCCCAGGCUAGGGGUCUAAUCAGAGCCACAGCAACGUAGGAUCCUUGACCCUCUGAGCGAGGCCAGGGAUCGAACCAGCAAGCUCAUGGUUCCUAGUCGGAUUCGUUUCUGCUGUACCACAAUGGGAACUCCUCGAGCCUGGUACCUCAUGGAAGGCGUCUGGGUCACAGUUCUCAUGCCCGCCCGCAGCCCCUUCAUUCUGUGGGGGCUCCAGCCAGAAGUCACCACUGUGGCAACUUAAUGUCCUGGCAUCCUUCAGCCUUCUCUUGGCUUCCAGAAAAGUUUCACAGCCCACUCUCCUCCUCUGAAGGCAGUCCAGUCAAGAAAGAAAAGAAACAGCAUACAGCGUUCUUCCCUGAGUUCAGACCUCUGGCCCCCAUCCAAGUGCGAAAAACCACAGACCUGCAUCUGCUUCUUCUCAACCCAGAAAAAACUAGAGUGUUCCCUGAGGGCAGUCCACCCUAUGGAUACAAACAAAUCGUGUCAGCAGGAGAGAAAGGCCAUGGAUUUCAAGGGAAUGUUUGGCUGUGACAGCAAGUGAGUAAACAGAUGAGGCCGUCCAGAGAAAGGGCCAGCAGAGCGCCUACUGAUCCAAGGAAUGUGACAAAUUCCUGAGGCGGUUAUUUCCUUUCCUGGUAAAUGUGUAGUUAGGGAUCUCAGCAAGGAGUCUGGGGGAGUUUUCUGUAUUUCCUACUAAAGCCACGUUAAGAAGCAACAUUCAUGUUUCCUUUCGCCCGGUGUUCUUAAGCACACCCAAGCCACCAACACUUGGCGAGGCUGUAACUGGCAUUUGUGGUUGGGUCUGUGUCAGAAGGCAUGCUUCCUCCUGCUCCUUUUUCUCAGCGAGUCCUGUGACUUCAGUCUUACCUACAAUGACUUUUAUUAAAUAAGGCACUUGAGGGACAAAAUGCAAAAGUGACCUCAGUUUAGUGUCUAAUGUGCAGAGGAAAAGUGAGGGAGAUCUGAGGUUCUGGGGUGUGGCCAGAGAGGAUGGCUACUCCCGGGGACAUAGAAUCAACUAUCUCUGAUGCUGACAUUUGUUAUUGUACAGUACAGAUAAGUGAGCACUGCCACCGGGCUAAAGCUAGCCCACCAUGUCUGAGGACACUUUAUAUAUAUACACACACACUUUUUUUUUUUUUUU